AACGAACGCUGGCGGCAUGCCUAACACAUGCAAGUCGAACGAGACCUUCGGGUCUAGUGGCGCACGGGUGCGUAACGCGUGGGAAUCUGCCCUUCGGUUGGGAAUAACUGAGAGAAAUUUCAGCUAAUACCUUAUAAUGUCUUCGGACCAAAGAUUUAUUGCCGAGGGAUGAGCCCGCGUAGGAUUAGGUAGUUGGUGGGGUAAUGGCCUACCAAGCCGACGAUCCUUAGCUGGUCUGAGAGGAUGAUCAGCCACACUGGGACUGAGACACGGCCCAGACUCCUACGGGAGGAAGCAGUGGGGAAUAUUGGACAAUGGGCGAAAGACUGAGCCAGCCAGGCCGCGUGAGUGAUGAAGGCCUUAGGGUUGUAAAGCUCUUUUAACCGGGAUGAUAAUGACAGUACCGGGAGAAUAAGCGCCGGCUAACUCCGUG
rnacentral:rRNA from 1 species